UUUGGGGGAUUCGUUCGGCAGCCCCCAAAGAAAAAUCUCUACAUCCCCCCAAGGAUUUUAAGUCUUGUCCUCCUUCUUCAUCUAUCAAACACCAUUGAAGAGCUCAACACAUAUACAUGCAAUUCUUUUUCCAUCAUUAAAAUUCAAGUUUUAAAAUAUUAAAACUUAUUUACUUACCUAUUGAAGGAAGAUUUGGAUUUUACCUUUAAGAAUCAAGAUGGAUUGAGCUUAUUUUGGAAACUCUAGGCUUUGAAUUUUGUGGAGAAACUCUCUCAAACUUGCAGAUACUUUCAAACGAAUCUUGGGGGAGUUCAUUCAAAAUCAGUUGAUUGAUGAUAACCAUGGAAUACUUAUCACUAGUGAUGUUAAAAGUCUCAAUCUCAGAUAAACUCCCUCUUAGUAUCUGGUGCAUUUCCCAUGUCCCGUUCUCCAGCAUCUGAUGAUAACUAAGGACUAAUUUCUUUUAUUAGUUUGUCUUGGAUGGUAGCUGGAUGUUGAAUAUUGAAUGCUGAAUUUUUUGAGUUCUUGUUCUACUUUCUGUUUAGUUGGAUAUUGUUUAUGAAAUGGAUUGAAUUAGGAUUUGUUUAUGAAAUGAAUUGGAUUGUAUGUUGAA